GUGAAUCAUCGAAUUUUUGAACGCAAAUUGCACUCUCUUCGGAGAGUAUGCCUGUUUGAGGGUCAGUAUUAAUAAAAAUCGGUGUGGUUGCUGCCUUUCGUGGUGACGUACCGGAUUUGGGUCGUCCUGCCUUCGGUUAAGUGACCUAAAAUUUUGCAUGAUUUUUUCGAACGUAUUUAAAUGACUUUCGGUACGUUUGCGUUAUCAAAUACUAGUGUUGGUCA
rnacentral:misc_RNA from 1 species